GCAGCCACCUGUGAGGGACGAAGCUGAGGCUUGGCUGUCUGGGAUCUAAACUGUGACCUGAUCAAGUACAGACAUUCUGAUUUUAUCUAUUUAUACUUUGGGACUUUGAGAUUAAGCAUCUUUCCUUAGGCUAGGAACUGACUGCUGCACUCACCUGUGACCACCCAGCUCAAGACAAUAGACUUGCCUCCAGCUACGCCCUCUGAGAUAGCCCUCUGAGAUAGCCGACCACUACCUGCUGUGUCCAUCAAGCACUGUGCCGACAGGGCAAUCUUGUGACUAUUGUGGGAGGGACAUUUCAAUCACAUGUGAAACACCCUGUUUGGGGGUAUAUAACCACUAUGUGCACCCCACUUCUUCGGUGCCCUUUCUUCCUUCGGGAAGAAAGGCCCCGGGCCAUGGUUCUCAUAAAGCUUUGUUUAAUUUUCUCUUGCUAUUCUGUCUCAUGUGAAUUUAAUUCAUUCUCCAGCUAGACGAACCCCCAUUUGGGAAGAGGAAAUGUCUUCCUCUCCUACACCUUCAUGAAAUUCUUAAUAAUUUUUGCACAAAGGCUUUGCAUUUUCAUUUUGCACUGGGCCUUGAAGGGUUUCUGGUAGAAACUCUUUUGAUUAAGCUAGUUCCAUUCUGUUCCUAGUUUGCUGUGAUUUUUUUUCUUACAGGAUGGGUGGGUAUUGAGAAGAUAAUAAAUAUUCUGUUUUAAUCUAUUAAUGUGGAAAGUUACAUUCAUUGAUUUUCUAUGAUAAAUCAUCCCUGCAUUCAUAGCCUAAACUCAAUUGGGCAAUGAUGUAUUUUUGAAUAUACUUUAUUUUUUAGAAAAGUUGUAAAUUUACAGAAAAAUUGUAAAGAUAGUGCAGAGUUCCCAUAUACCCCACAUCCAGUUGCCCUUAUCAUUAACAUGUUAUUGUUAGUAUGGUACAUGUGCUGUAAUUAAGGAAUCAAUAGCCCAUAGUUUAUUCAGAUAUCCUUAGUUUUUAUCUAAUAUCUUUUUUCUGUUCAAGGAGCCUAUCCAGGAUACUACAUUAUCUUUAGUUGUCAUGUCUCCUUGGGUUCCUCUAAGUAGGUUGUGAGUUUCUUAGAUUUUCCUUGUUUUGAUGACCUUGACAGUUUGGAGGCAUAGUGAUCAGAUUGGUUUGUAGAAUGACCCUCUAUUGGGAUUUGUCUGAUGUUUCUCUCAUGAUUAGACAGGGGUAAUGUGUUUUUGAGAGGAAGAUCACAUAGGUAUACUGCCGUUGUCAUCACCUCACUUCAAGGGUACGUACCAUCAACAUGAUUUAUCACUACUGAUAUGAUGGUCGUGAUCACCUCCAGAGAGGGGAGACAGGUUGGAAGUUGAGUCAAUCACCAAUGACCAAUGACUCAAUCAAUGAUACCUAACUAAUGAAGCCUCCAUAAAAACUCAAAAAGCAUUGGGUUCAGAGAGCUGAAGGGUUGGUAAACAUGUGGAGAUGUGGGGAGUGUGCUGCACCAGAGAGAGCAUGGAAGCUCUGCACCGCUUUCUGCAUAUCUUGCCCUGUGCAUCUCUUCCAUCUGGCUGUUCCUGAGUUAUAUCCUUUUAUAAUAAACUCGUAAUCUAGUAAGUAAACUGCUUUCCUGAGUUCUGUGAGCUGUUCUGGCAAAUUAAUCAAAUCUGAGGAGGGGGUUGUGGGAAGCUCUGAUUUAUAGUCAGUUGGUCAGAAGCACAGGUGACAACCUGGACUUGCAAUUGCAACAAAAAAAUUAUGAGACAUACAAAUAAACAGGAAAGUAUGACCCAUACACUGGGAAAAAAGCAGACAACAGAAACUACCUGUGAAAGUAACCAGAUGUUGAAUUUGACAAAGCUUAAAAAGUAGACAUUAUAAGUAUGUUCAAGAAACUAAAGUAACAAUGAUUAAAGAAGUAAAGGAAGGGGGCCGGCCUGGUGGUGCAGUGGUAAGUUUGCAUGUUCCACUUUUUGGUGGCCCGGGGUUUGCUGGUUCAGAUCCUGGGUGUGGACAUGGCACCACUUGGCAAAAGCCAUGCUGUGGUAGGUGUCUCACGUAUAAAGUGGAGGAAGAUGGGCAUGGAUGUUAGCUCAGGGCCAGUCUUCCUCAGGAAAAAGAGGAGGAUUGGCAGUAGUUAGCUCAAGGCUAAUCUUCCUAAAAAAAAAAAAAAACCAGAAGUAAAGGAAGAUAUGAGGACAAUGGUACCUCAAAUGGAGAAUAUCAAUAAAGACAUAGAAAUUAUUUAAAAAGAAACUUGGAAAUGCUGGAGUUGGAAAGUACAAUAACUGAAAUGAAAAAUUCACUGGAGAGGCUCAACAGUAGAUAUAAACUAGCAGAAGAAAGAACUAGCAAACUUGAAGCUUGAUUGAUAGAGAUUAUGUAAUCCAAAGAACAGAGAGGAAAACAGUGAAGAAAAAUUAACAGAGCCUUAGAGUAAUAUGGGACAACGCUAAACACAUCAACAUACGUGUAAUGGGAGUACCAGAAGGAGGGAAGAGAGAAAGGAGCAGGAAAAAUAUUUGGAGAAAUAAUAGCUGAAAACUUCCUAAAUUAUAGAAAAACGAUCAUCAACACAUCCAGGAAGCCCAUUGGACUCCAAGUGGAAUACAUUCAAAGAGAUCCACAAAUAGACACAUCACAGUAAAACUGCUGAACGCCAAAGACAAGCAGGGAAUCUUGAAAGCAGUAAGAGAAAAACAAUUUGUCACUUACAAGGGAAUGCAAAUAAAAUUAAUAGCUGACUUUGCAGCAGAAAUGAUGGAGGCCAGAAGGCAGUGGGAUGACAUAUUCAAAAUGCUCAAAGAAAAAAACUGCCAACCAGAAUCCUAUAUCCAGCUAAGCCAUCUUUCAAAAAUGAUAACAAAUUCCCAGAUAAACAAAAACAGAGAAUUUGUUGCUAGCAAACCUGCCUUAUGAGAAAUACUAAAGGAAGUUUAUCAGGCUGAAAGUAAGUAACCUUAGAUGGUAAUUUGAGUCCACACAAAAAAACAAAGAGAACCAGUGAAUAUGUAAUUAC
rnacentral:lncRNA from 1 species